rnacentral:lncRNA from 1 species
ACAGAUGCUCAUGGGAAGGGUGUGAGUGGCGUUUUGCAAGAAGUGAUGAGUUAACCAGGCACUUCCGAAAGCACACCGGGGCCAAGCCUUUUAAAUGCUCCCACUGUGACAGGUGUUUUUCCAGGUCUGACCACCUGGCCCUGCACAUGAAGAGGCACCUCUGAGGGAGCAGAGAGGUGGAUCCUGUAGGCUAAAAGGCUUCCAGGCUGAGAGCCGGCCGUGGAAGGAGGGAUGCGUGUUCCAGCCAAAGCAUGCCGUUCUGCACCCUACCCAGUUGCCUCCAGGGCCUCUCCUUGGAAGGUCUUUUGAGGGCUAAAAAGGUCCUGUAAGAAGCGGCAUAGCACCCGUGGUGCAUGCCUGUCCUGGGAGCUGGAGAGGAUGUCAGCGAGCCUGACAUUGCCCUCCCUGAAUGCAUCAAAUACUCUUCUCCAAGGACUGACAAAAACAACCCCCCGGCUGUGGGCACAGUAGGGAACCAUGCCGGUUUGAUCUUCCAUUGCUCAAGCCAGGGAAUGCAUUGCAGAGGCACCUGCACAACGACAAACUUGAGUGUUUCCCUGCCACUUCUGUGCCUCCACAGCCUGCUCCAGUUCCGCAGCUAGAGCUGGGCCUACCUUCCCCAGCCAGCCCUGCCACACACCUGGCUGAGGCAUGUCUGGGAGGGGUGGAGGAGGCAGAGGGACUCCAGGCCAGAGGGCUGUUCUCACAACCUCAGCCCACUCUCAGUCAAGGAGGGCAGAAAAUAAAAGAUGACAUCACUGCCA